rnacentral:lncRNA from 1 species
AUUUUUUCUACAUUAUGGAUUUGAAUGAUGAAGGGUAUCUAAAGAAUGUGUUUUGGAUUGAUCCCAGAUCCAGAGCGGCAUAUGCUUAUUUUGGUGAUGUGGUUGUGGUUGACACAACAUGCGUGUCAAAAAAAUAUGACAUCCCACUUCUAGCAUUCUUUGGACUAAACCACCAUAAGCAGACUCUUUUGUUGGGCUGUGGUUUGCUUGCUGAUGAAAGUUUUGAGACAUAUGUUUGGUUACUGAGAGCAUGGCUAUCGUGUAUGUCAGGACGCCCUCCGCAAACUAUCAUCACAGAUCGGUGCAUGGCCUUGCAAAAUGCAAUAUCUGAGGUUUUUCCUCGGGCUCAACAUCGGCUUAAUCUGUCUAUUAUUUUGGGCAGCAUUUUCAAUACCGUAGGACAAGUGGGGGAAUCUGAAGUAUUCCAUGAGGUACUGUAUAAUACGGUGUAUAACUCUCUUAAAGUUGAUGAAUUUGAAGUUGCGUGGGAGGAGAUGGUCCAUCAAUUCGGAUUUAGGGGCUAUGGAUGGCUUCAAAGUGUGUACGAGGAUCGAGAACGAUGGGCUCCUAUUUAUAUGAAAGAUACAUUUUUUGCUGGAAUAUCUAUUGAUCAGCCUGGUGAGUUCAUGAGCCCCUUUUUUGAUGGAUUUGUACAUAAACAUACAAAUUUGAAAGAAUUUUUUGAUAUAUAUGAUUUUGUACUGCAAAAAAUGCGUCAGAAGGAAGUUCAUUGUGAUUUUGAGUCGAGAGAAUUUAGCCCCGUCUUGAGAACAGGGUGCAAUUAUGAGUUACAGCUAUCUAAAUUGUAUACUAAAGAAAUAUUCU